rnacentral:rRNA from 1 species
GACGAACCGUGCAAACGUUGUUCGGAAUCACUGGGCUUAAAGGGCGCGUAGGCGGGCCAGCCAGUCUGUGGUGAAAGCCUCCAGCUUAACUGGAGAAGUGCCGUGGAUACUGCUGGCCUCGAGGAGGAUAGGGGCAUCUGGAACGGUCGGUGGAGCGGUGAAAUGCGUAGAUAUCGGAAGGAACAUCAGUGGCGAAAGCGGCUUCCUGGACCAGUACCGACGUUCAGGCACGAAAGCGUGGGGAGCAAACAGG